CAGCAGCCGCGGUAAUACGUAGGGUGCAAGCGUUAAUCGGAAUUACUGGGCGUAAAGCGUGCGCAGGCGGUUAUAUAAGACAGAUGUGAAAUCCCCGGGCUCAACCUGGGAACUGCAUUUGUGACUGUAUAGCUAGAGUACGGCAGAGGGGGAUGGAAUUCCGCGUGUAGCAGUGAAAUGCGUAGAUAUGCGGAGGAACACCGAUGGCGAAGGCAAUCCCCUGGGCCUGUACUGACGCUCAUGCACGAAAGCGUGGGGAGCAAACAGGAUUAGAUACCCCGGUAGUCCCUGUCUUUAUACA
rnacentral:rRNA from 1 species